rnacentral:rRNA from 1 species
UGAACGCUAGCGAUAGGCCUAACACAUGCAAGUCGAGGGGCAUCACAUGAGGCAGCAAUGCCGAUGGUGGCGACCGGCGCACGGGGUGAGUAACACGUAUGCAACCUGCCUUUCAACAAGGGGAUAACCCGUUGAAAGACGGACUAAUACCCUAUAACGACAGGGGUCCCGCAUGGGAAUAUUGUUAAAGGCAACGGUUGAGAUGGCAUGCGUUCCAUUAGCUAGUUGGCGGGUAACGGCCCACCAAGGCAACGAUGGAUAGGGGAACCUGAGAGGUUUUACCCCCACACUGGUACUGAGACACGGACCAGACUC